GACGGAAGGUGCAAGCGUUGCUCGGAAUCACUGGGCGUAAAGGGUGCGUAGGCGGCCGCGCAAGUCUGGCGUGAAAGCCCCGGGCUCAGCCCGGGAAGGGCGCUCGAAACGGCGCGGCUCGAGUGCCGGAGGGGAGAGUGGAAUUCCUGGUGUAGCGGUGAAAUGCGUAGAUAUCCGGAGGAACACCAGUGGCGAAAGCGGCCACCUGGACUGCACCUGACGCUGACACGCGAAAGCCAGGGGAGCGAACGGG
rnacentral:rRNA from 1 species